rnacentral:lncRNA from 1 species
GAAAAUUUUCUGAAAGAUAAUAUUCUGAUAUCUCAGAUGAUUUAUUUGUAAUAAAUAUUAUUUUAGCUCUUUCAACAGUGAUUUUGUAGAAUUGCAGUUUGAUUAUGUCGAAGGGAUUUCCAUUCUGGAUUUAGAUGUCUCUUCUGACUUAUCGUAAGGGAGAGUCGUCGUUGGUUCUGGGAUGGACGAGCGAUAACGACUUAAAAAGGGGCAAUUUUCGAAAGUUUGAUGGCAUAAAAUGGUGUGGCACAAUUAAGGAAACCCGAACCACAAAUAUGGGAGAACAGGGAUCAACUUGCAGCACCAUCUGGCCCCGGCCGUGUGGUCUGUCAGUCAUGGAGGAGAGCAAGGAGUCGCAAAUUGUUCGGUGCCCUUGAUGGAUGGAUUCGGUUUUACGGAAGACAGCUUUUCCAUCAAUUGAUCCACCAUUUUACAAACUGCAUCCUUCACAUCACAUGAGUGAAAGCUCGCUGGCAAUAUCGCCCUCAUUUAAGACAAACUUUUGUGAUUUUUCUUUACCUUCUCCUCUUACUCUGUCAAUAUUUAUUAUCUUGCUUAAAUUGCAGGCAAAUCUUAUAAGAGGUCUGCUAUCGUCAGAUAAGGACAAAAAGAGAGAUUAAAGGAAUUUGGUAUACUAAAGAUAGUGGUCCAAGUUCUUCUCCUCUACUUGUUAAAUCUCUUUAUGCUGUCACGACAACAAUAGACUUUUAUAUGAGUUACUAAACGUUCAGUAGACUUUAUAUAAGUGGGCU